AUUAGAUACCNUGGUAGUCCACGCUGUAAACGAUGAAUGUUAAAUAUGGGAAGUUUACUUUCUGUAUUACAGCUAACGCGUUAAACAUUCCGCCUGGGGACUACGGUCGCAAGAUUAAAACUCAAAGGAAUUGACGGGGACCCGCACAAGCGGUGGAGCAUGUGGUUUAAUUCGAUGCAACGCGAAAAACCUUACCACUCCUUGACAUGGAAAUUAUACCUAUUCGAAGGGAUAGGGUCGGUUCGGCCGGAUUUCACACAGGUGUUGCAUGGCUGUCGUCAGCUCGUGUCGUGAGAUGUUGGGUUAAGUCCCGCAACGAGCGCAACCCUCAUCCUUAGUUACCAUCAGGUAAUGCUGGGGACUUUAAGGAAACUGCCAGUGAUAAACUGGAGGAAGGUGGGGAUGAUGUCAAGUCAUCAUGGCCCUUAUGGAGUGGGCUACACACGUGCUACAAUGGUGGCUACAAUGGGCUGCAAAGUCGCGAGGCUAAGCUAAUCCCUUAAAAGCCAUCUCAGUUCGGAUUGUACUCUGCAACUCGAGUACAUGAAGUUGGAAUCGCUAGUAAUCGUGGAUCAGCAUGCCACGGUGAAUACGUUCUCGGGUCUUGUACACACUGCCCGUCACGCCAUGGGAAUUGGUUUCACUCGAAGCUAACGACCUAACCGCAAGGAGGGAGUUAUUUAAAGUGGGAUCGGUGACUGGGGUGAAGUCGUAACAAGGUAGCCGUAGAAUCACUAGUGAAUUCGCGGCCGCCUGCAGGUCGACCAUAUGG
rnacentral:rRNA from 1 species